rnacentral:rRNA from 1 species
UAUGAAGGGUGCAAACGUUGCUCGGAAUUAUUGGGCGUAAAGCGCACGUAGGCGGCUUGGCAAGUCGGAUGUGAAAUCCCUCGGCUCAACCAAGGAAGUGCAUCCGAAACUGCUGAGCUUGAGUACUUAAGAGGAUCGCGGAAUUCCCGGUGUAGAGGUGAAAUUCGUAGAUAUCUGGAGGAACACCGGUGGCGAAGGCGGCAUCCUGGACCGACACUGACGCUGAUGAGCGAAAGCCAGGGGAGCAAACGGG